rnacentral:rRNA from 1 species
AUUGAACGCUGGCGGCGUGCUUAACACAUGCAAGUCGUGCGGUAACAGGCGUAGCAAUACGUGCUGACGAGCGGCGAACGGGUGCGUAAUACAUGGGAAUCUGCCUUUUAGUGGGGAAUAACCCGGCGAAAGCCGGGCUAAUGCCGCAUAAGAUCUUCGGAUGAAAGCGGGGGAUCGUAAGACCUCGCGCUGAUAGAUGAGCCCAUGCCGGAUUAGCUAGNGGUGAGGUAACGGCUCACCAAGGCGACGAUCCGUAGCUGGUCUGAGAGGACGGCCAGCCACACUGGGACUGAGACACGGCCCCAGACUCCUACGGGAGGCAGCAGUGGGGAAUAUUGGACAAUGGGGGAAACCCUGAUCCAGCGACGCCGCGUGUGUGAAGAAGGCCUGCGGGUUGUAAAG